GAGACAUUCAGUCAUCUAGAGAGAAGAGAAACACAGCCAGUAGAGGGGCUCAGGAGGAAGAAUACCACAGCAUCCAUUUUAUGAACAGAGUAGCAGCACUUUUGAAAAAAAUGACAGAGGCGGGAACCAGGAAACGGAGGAGGGAUAAACCACAUUUCCACAUCCUAAGUUAACCACACCCCUUCCCUUCCGUUCAGAGGUGUGUGUGGAGAACACUCAAUGCUCGUACCGCUUGCACCAUGCCUCACGCAAACAACCCAAGGGCUAUGUUCUCAAACCCUGGGUCAUCUCUGUAAUGCAACUGGCUCAGAAAAACAAAGGUGCCAUCAUGCCAGAAAUGCAAGACCUAUCCAGCUGCAAUUUCACAACCCAAGAGACAAAAGCAUUCAUAAAGAUGUGUGAUGUAAAAUGCCCAAAAGACAACUGUGGUCCUCUAACACAUAACAGAAUAGGAAUGUCACUACUGAUUAAUGGACCUCAUCAUCAAGGAAAAGGCUAGUCUCCACAAUAUCAUGUGAAAGGCUUACCCUCCAAUGAGGCUACAUUAGCACAAGUCUCCCACUUUCUGCCACUGGCACACAGUGCAUCAUUUAUUGUUUUGAAAGACGUGUGCCAAAUUAGCCAUUUCUGCUCCAAGGAGAUGACGGUUACGAGUAGCUCCUAAUUCCUCUUCCCUAAAAAGAAUUAAAUGGUCUGUACCUUUUC